UACAUGUACAUAUAAGUUGAAUUC
rnacentral:miRNA from 1 species